CCAAACUUGGUCAUUUAGAGGAAGUAAAAGUCGUAACAAGGUUUCCGUAGGUGAACCUGCGGAAGGAUCAUUACAAAUCCAACGUCUCAUGCGAGACCUGUUGAACUGUAAAGGGAGGAGAAUGAAUGAAUGAGUGGAUUGUUGUUGUAGGUGGUUGUUGAGCGAGAGGCAUUCGUCUCUCUUUGAGAGGCAUUCGUGCCUCUUGCUCGCUGUCACUCACUACUACUACUACUACUACUCUCAUUUUGACGCAGCCCCUAAUCUCACACGCUAGUAUGAUUGUUGCAUGACAGAUGAAAUAACAACAAGAAUAACAAAAGAGAAACAACUUAUAACAAUGGAUCUCUAGGCUCUUGCAUCGAUGAAGAACGCAGC
rnacentral:misc_RNA from 1 species